GUGAAAUAACCAGUUACUUGGAUAACUGCGGUAAUUCUGGAGCUAAUACAUGCAACAAGCCCCGACUCACGGAGGGGCGCUUUUAUUAGAUCAAAACCAAACGGCUUCGGCUGUCUCGCUUGGUGACUCUGAAUAACUUUGGGCUGAUCGCAUGGCCUUGCGCCGGCGACAUUUCCGUCGAAGGUGUGCCCUAUCAACUGUCGACUGUGGCAUAGACGCCCACAGUGGUUUUGACGGGUAACGGGGAAUCAGGGUUCGAUUCCGGAGAGGGAGCCUUAAAAACGGCUACCACAUCUAAGGAAGGCAGCAGGCACGCAAAUUACCCAAUGACCGAAGGUCGAGGUAGUGACGAAAAAUAACGAUAGCGGACUCAUCCGAGGCCCGCUAAUUGGAAUGAGUACACUUUAAAACCGUCCCCGAGGAUCUAUUGGAGGGCAAGUCUGGUA
rnacentral:rRNA from 1 species